GAUAAACGCUGGCGGCGUGCAUGAGACAUGCAAGUCGAACGAAGGAUCGGGCUUGCUCGAUCCUUAGUGGCGGACGGCUGAGUAACGCGUAGGUGACCUACCUCGAAGUGGGGAAUAACUGCCCGAAAGGGUGGCUAAUACCGCAUGUGGUCGCACGUUCAUUCGUGCGAGUAAAGCCGCAAGGCGCUUCGGGAGGGGCCUGCGUCCGAUUAGCUCGUUGGUGGGGUAAUGGCUUACCAAGGCGACGAUCGGUAGGUGGUCUGAGAGGACGAUCACCCAGACUGGGACUGAGACACGGCCCAGACUCCUACGGGAGGCAGCAGUCGGGAAUUUUGCUCAAUGGGGGAAACCCUGAAGCAGCAACGCCGCGUGAGGGAUGAAGGCCUUCGGGUUGUAAACCUCUUUUGUCAGGGACGAUGAUGACGGUACCUGGCGAAUAAGCCACGGCUAACUACGU
rnacentral:rRNA from 1 species